rnacentral:rRNA from 1 species
UACGUAGGGGGCGAGCGUUGUCCGGAAUUACUGGGCGUAAAGGGCGCGCAGGCGGCCGUGUAAGUCCGCUGUGAAAGACCGGGGCUCAACCCCGGGGUGUCAGCGGGGACUGCACGGCUGGAGUCCCGGAGAGGGAGGCGGAAUACCUGGUGUAGCGGUGAAAUGCGCAGAUAUCAGGAGGAACACCGGUGGCGAAGGCGGAUCUCUGGGCCAUUACUGACGCUGAGGAGCGAAAGCGUGGGGAGCGAACAGG